AUCCAGAUGACGAAUCGGAAAUAGGAUGAAACCUGCGUGCUGGAU
rnacentral:hammerhead_ribozyme from 1 species